rnacentral:rRNA from 1 species
UACGGAGGGGGCUAGCGUUGUUCGGAAUCACUGGGCGUAAAGGGUGCGUAGGCGGGUUUUUAAGUCAGAGGUGAAAUCCUGGAGCUCAACUCCAGAACUGCCUUUGAUACUGAAAGUCUUGAGUAUGGGAGAGGUGAGUGGAACUGCGAGUGUAGAGGUGAAAUUCGUAGAUAUUCGCAAGAACACCAGUGGCGAAGGCGGCUCACUGGCCCAUAACUGACGCUGAGGCACGAAAGCGUGGGGAGCAACAGG